rnacentral:tRNA from 1 species
AGAGGCAUGGCUCAAGUGGUAGAGUGCAAGCCAAACAAGUGCCCUGGGUUCAAAUCCCAGUGCUGCCA